rnacentral:rRNA from 1 species
AUUGAACGCUGGCGGCAUGCCUUACACAUGCAAGUCGAACGGCAGCGCGGACUUCGGUCUGGCGGCGAGUGGCGAACGGGUGAGUAAUGCAUCGGAACGUACCUUUCAGUGGGGGAUAACGUAGCGAAAGUUACGCUAAUACCGCAUAUUCUGUGAGCAGGAAAGCAGGGGAUCGCAAGACCUUGCGCUGAUUGAGCGGCCGAUGUCAGAUUAGCUAGUUGGUGAGGUAAAGGCUCACCAAGGCGACGAUCUGUAGCGGGUCUGAGAGGAGGAUCCGCCACACUGGGACUGAGACACGGCCCAGACUCCUACGGGAGGCAGCAGUGGGGAAUUUUGGACAAUGGGGGCAACCCUGAUCCAGCCAUGCCGCGUGAGUGAAGAAGGCCUUCGGGUUGUAAAGCUCUUUCGGCCGGGAAGAAAUCGCAUGGGUUAAUACCCUGUGUGGAUGACGGUACCGGAAUAAGAAGCACCGGCUAACUACGUGCCAGCAGCCGCAGUAA